rnacentral:rRNA from 1 species
CGUGAGCGGCGGACGGGUGAGUAACGCGUGGGUAACCUGCCUCAUACAGGGGAGAACAGUUGGAAACGGCUGCUAAUACCGCAUAAGCGCACAGUACCGCAUGGUACGGUGUGAAAAACUCCGGUGGUAUGAGAUGGACCCGCGUCUGAUUAGGUAGUUGGUGGGGUAACGGCCUACCAAGCCGACGAUCAGUAGCCGACCUGAGAGGGUGACCGGCCACAUUGGGACUGAGACACGGCCCAA